rnacentral:tRNA from 1 species
GUGGGUAUAGCUCAGGUGGUUAGAGCACCAGGUUGUGGCCCUGGGGGUCGUCGGUUCAAGUCCGAUUAUCCACCCCA